UGUUGAAACACCAUUCUCAUACAACCACCAAAGUUAAGCUAUAUCGAGCCUGGUCAGUACCUAGAUGGGUGACCAUUUAGGAAUACCAAGUGCUGUAAG